UACGAAGGGGGCGAGCGUUGUUCGGAUUUACUGGGCGUAAAGGGCGCGUAGGCGGCGAUGUAAGUCAGGCGUGAAAGCCCCGGGCUCAACCUGGGAGGUGCGCUUGGGACUACGUUGCUGGAGUUCGGGAGAGGAGCGUGGAAUACCCAGUGUAGAGGUGAAAUUCGUAGAUAUUGGGAAGAACACCGGUGGCGAAGGCGGCGCUCUGGACCGAUACUGACGCUGAGGCGCGAAAGCGUGGGGAGCAAACAGG
rnacentral:rRNA from 1 species